rnacentral:lncRNA from 1 species
GCUUUCAACAAACCACAAUCAGGCCUAUUUCAGAUGAACCAACUUGCUCAAAUGUGGAUUGCCAUUUUCUUUUCAUCAGUAAACACACUCCAGACCUACAGCUCACCAAUGACCAAUGAUUUGGCAGUAAGUUUCCUUACCACAGGGUCACUGUAUGUGGCUUUGGGUCAAACUCUGGUUCUUGAGGCCACCGUAGACAAGAGUCCAGAUGUGAAUGUUGUCCUGGUGACUUGGGAGAGGAACAAUCCGACUGGAUCACUGAGACUGGCUGAAUAUCCAGGGAGAAUCUUUAAUCCCAGAGUCACCUUGGAAAGAGAGGGUGAAUGGAUAAGGCUCUCUGAUGUCCAGGAGUCUGACUACGGCAAUUACACUGUUUCAGUCACAGAUAGCUAUGGGACACAGAAACAUGAUAUGAAAAUUGUGCUAAAGGCUGAGAAGCCUCCAGAGGCCUCUGUUGUUCUCCUGUGUGAUGUGUCUCGUGAGGAAGCUCAGUGGGACAGUCCUGUAUUCACAUGGCUGGUAGACGGUGUGGAGCUGACCAAUCAGACGGCCAAUAUGUCUGACGGAGGAAGCAAACUCCACCUGCAGGGAAUGAAGGGCCAUAACUACACCUGCAUUAGCAACAGCAGCCUGGGAACCAGCGUGUCUCAUUUCAUCAUACCAGAGUGUACCGAGUGCCCAAGCUGCUCAAAUGAUGUUGCUAUAGCCAUGACCAUUGAGGCAAUGAUUGUUCUGGUGAUUUCAGUGCUGUCAUGUUAUGUUUUGAUGAAGCAGAAGAAGUUGAGCUUCUGAGUGUCUGAAUUUCAGCACGCCAACAAAGUAUACUGAAAAAACAUACUCUAUUUCCAGUGUUAGGUGACUACUUGCCAAUCAUUUUAGUUGUAUUUUAUUAUAGUUCUAUAAUUACUAGAUUGAAUGUUAAGUUGUCAAUUGCAAAUUUGAUUUACAUUUAUUUAUUAUUUAUAGAAUAAUGUUUUUAUGGUUUAUGCAAAGUUCUAACUUCCCCACUGGUUUUCAUUAUGUUUGAAUGUGGGACUGUGGGAAAUUUCAAAAGGGGCAUGCUCAACAAUGACUAUUAUUGUUACUCUAGUUACACGAGUAGAUUGUUUGAAAUGUGCAUUAUGAUGGUUGUCAGUACGAGAAUUGCUUUUUAGGACUUUCACAGAAAAUUCAAAGAAAGGAAAGUGUUUUGUGCAUACAGCAUGCCAUUCUCCUGAGAAACCAUUAAGAUAUUGUUUAUGCUCUGAAUGUGCUUUCACUUUCUGUAUUGUUACACUGUUCUAGCUACUGUUAACUUUGUCUCGCAUGUAGAAAACACUGCAUAUAUGUGUAAACAAUAAUAAAGCAGUAGCUUUGUGCCA